UUCCGGUUGAUCCUGCCGGAGGCCUUGCUAUCGGGGUCCGAUUUAGCCAUGCUAGUCGCACGGGUUCAGACCCGUGGCGAAAAGCUCAGUGACACGUGGCCAAACUACCCUGUGGAUCGGGACAACCUCGGGAAACUGAGGCUAAUCCCGAAUAGGGCUCGCAGCCUGGAGUGGCGUGAGUCCGAAACGCUCCAGCGCCACAGGAUGUGGCUGCGGCCGAUUAGGUUGACGGUGGGGUAACGGCCCACCGUGCCCAUAAUCGGUACGGGUUGUGAGAGCAAGAGCGCUGAGACGGCAUCUGACACAAGAUACCCGAUCAUACUGGGCGCAGCAGGCGCUAAGCCUAUACACUCCACGCAAGUCCGAUAUGUGGACUCCGAGUUCGUCCGCAUACCGUCCUCGCUUUAUUCGACCGUAAGCUGGUCGAGGAAGAAGCGCUGGUCAAGACCGGUGCCAGCCGUCCAGGUAAUACCGGCAGCGCAAGUGAUGNCCGUAUUAUU
rnacentral:rRNA from 1 species